CCUGUUUUGAUGCUCUAGUAUCGAAUCUAUUUGAUUGCAAGUCAAUUAUAUAACUUUUCAUACUUGAAUUUCGAUUACUCUGGUUUCUCAAAAAAAGAAAAAAAAAAAAGAAUUUCGAAUACUCCAACCUUGGUUUUAAUAGCAAUCUUCUUCAUGCUAACGUUAUGGUAUGGUAUUGUCAGUCAGACUACACUGCUCUCUUCACGCAAAAGACCACUGUGAUUGUUAUGUACCGUACAGAGUAUUGAUUCUCUCCCCAAACCCUAACCCUAAUUUCGUUGAAUUCCUGCUCUCUUAAUCGCAUUAAUAUCAAUUAUAUCAACAUGGAACAACAUGAUAUACCUUUGCCUCCGGAGGUCUCUCCGGAUGUGUGCCUCUAUGAGACCGACGAAGCUCUCUUAUAUUCAGCGUUUAUGCCUGGGGUACCACAAGAUGAAGCCCGGGUGAUUUUUUGUAAGGCCACCAUGGAAUUUAAAUUCGGGGGUGUUUGGGUGCCUUUGCCUGACGAGCCCCAAUUUCGUCAGGUUUACUCAGGGAACAUAAAAAUGCAUCAAGGCCCUUUUUCAGUGACAAAGACUGUACACCUGGUUCGUAGGGGGCGUAUAUUUCUGAAGGUGCCAAAAGAAUACGAGGAUCUACUAGCACUUCCGGAGGAGUUUAAGAUACCAGCAGCACCUAGAGAACCUGAGGUUGUACUAGCACCUCAAUAGACUUUUAAAAUUGUUUUAUCUAGCUUUUUAAUUGAUUUUUGG